GCAUAUUUAGAGGAGCACGAUUAUGAAAUCAUAUACAAACCAGGAAAAGCUAAUGUAGUUGCCGAUGCCCUAAGUAGAAUAGUUUGUUCUCUGACAGGCACACAACAUACAUCAGAAGGUAGUGAUGAUUUUUGUAUCGAGUCAACUGAAUCACCCGUCAAUGUUUUUAAAUAUCAGAUAAUUUUAAAAGAAGGCAACGAAAAUAUAACGGUCACCCAUCCUUUCACAAAUUAUACAAGAAUAGAAAUUUCAAUUUCAAAUACUAAUGAAGAUCGUCUUUUACAGGUUCCUAUAAAUCAUUUCAAUCAUACUAGGAUUAACGGAUUGUUUACUACUGAAAACAUAAUGGGUAAACUACAAGAGGUUUACAAAAAACACAUUGGCAGAAAUAAAAUUUUAAAAAUCCGUUUUUCCCAAAAAAUACCUGAAGACAUUUCAGAAGAGGAUCGUCAAUGGGAUAUUAUUCGCAACGAAUACAACCAAGCACAUCGAGGAGCAGAAGAAAAUAAAUUAAAAAAUUUUCGAAAAUAUUUCUUUCCAAAAUUAAGUAAAAAAGUUCAUGAAUUUGUCACGAACUGUCAAAUUUGCAAUGAAUGCAAAUAUGACAGGAAUCCUAUUAAAUACCCCAUCCAAAAAACCUCAAUCCCAAGAGCACCUUUUGAAAUAGUACACAUUGAUGUAAUGUUUUUAGAAAAUCAGCAUUUCCUGACCUAUAUUGACAAGUUUUCAAAAUUUGCUCAGAUAAAAUUCAUAGAAUCCCGUGCAUCAAUUGACGUCACACCAGCUGUUAAAGAAAUCCUAUUAAGAUAUCGCACACCACAAGUUCUUGUGAUGGAUGGCGAAAAAUCUUUCAUGGCUGGAGAAUUAGUCAAUUUCUAUAACACACAUAAUAUUACCACUUACAUCACAGCUACCGGCCGUAGUGAGAUGAAUGGUCAAGUUGAGAGAUUUCAUUCUACUCUUCUUGAAUUAUAUCGUAUCACUAAAGCUGAGAAUCCUAAUAAAGGUUUAAUUGAAUUAAUAAACCUUUCUGUACACAAAUAUAACUCUUCAAUACAUUCCUCUACAAAGUAACGGCCACAUGAAAUUAUUCUUCCUUCACCCAGAACACCACGAAUAACAGAACAAGUUUAUCAGAAUUUAUUAACAAUACAACAUAAUGAUUUGAAACAUCAUAACAAAAAAACAAAACACAUAGACAUAACUGAAAAUCAAACAGCCUUUGAAAAAACCAGACAAAGACUCAAACAUAAACCAAGAUAUAAGUCCAAAUUGACAAAGUUAAGACAAGCACUAUCACCACUCAAGAUGGACGUAGAAUUCAUAAAAAUGACAUCAAGAUAAGGAAACAGUAAAUAUAACUUAUUUUCAUUUUUAAUAUUUCAGACUGAUACUGGCCAUCUUUUCACAAUCCUCACAAUCAAUAAUCCUAAAACAUGACGUUUUCAUGGACUUGACAGACUUAGGAAAUCAGCCCGUUCUCAUUUUUCAUCAUGGUGAGGCAAGAAUAAAACUUGACUAUAGAUAUUACAUACAUCAUUUCAAUCUCACCAUAAUAAGAUCGCAAGCCAAAACUCUUAAAGAUCAAUUUGGAAAUUUUAGUAAUUAUUAGUUUUCUGACUUAAUAAUUGAAAAGUUCAACGAAGUAGAUUUAGCCUUCAAAAGCAUAGAUCCUAUUAAACGAAGCAAGCGAUGGGACAUGUUAGGUAAAGCUUGGAAAUUUCUAGCUGGAAGUCCAGAUGCUGAUGAUUUAAAAAUAAUUAAUUCAUCAAUUAAUAAUUUAAUUAUAAAUAAUAACGACCAGAUCAAAAUUAAUAGAGAACUAAAUUUACAAUUAAAAGAAGCUCUUCUUUAAACAAAAUUAGCUAUCAGCCAUUUUAACAAAGAAUCAAUUGAAAUUUAUUGCAUUAAAAUAUUGUUUUAUUUAAACUACCUUAUAGAAAAAUUGUAUCGAAUAAUUGAGACCAUAACCUUAGCAAAAGUAGGAAUUGUUAAUGAAAAAAUAUUAAGCCAAUCAGAAAUAAAUGUAUUAAUCACAGAUUUAGCUAAAGAAAAUAUUACAGCUCGUUCAGCCAUAGAAGCCAUUUCAUAUGCCACAACACCAGUAGUCUCGAAUGACUUAGAGAUUGCUCUCAUCAUCAACAUGCCGAAAUUAGAUUCAAGGAAUUUCAACAAAGUGCAACUCAUCCCGAUUGUUUUUGACCAGAAACAAAUACACAUACCAAAUCCGUUCUAUCUCAUCCACAACAGCGAGAUUUAUCAGGUCAACUCAGUUGAACCAACCGAUUCAAUUACCAUUGAAUGGAAUAGAGAUUAAGAUGCACCAAGAAAUUCUCAAUAUUAGUUUGGAACAUCUCCAUAAACUACAACAACAGACUAGGAAAGAAUUGGGUAAAAUUCGUUUAUCAUCCAUAAGUCUGCAUUGGCCUCAUUGAAAGAGAACCAUCAUUAACAACCUUCCUCAAAUUUCAAAAGGAAUUACAUCAAGAACAAUCACCAACAACUUUCCACAGAUUUCAAAAGAAAUUAAAUCAGGACAUCAACAAACUAUUUUUCGGAACCUGUCACCAGCAGAAUUGAUUCAGAUGGAACCUCAUCACUAAGGCGGGAGGAAUUAACUAUUGAACCAGGCUGAAGCCGUAAUGAAAAACAACAGACGCCGGUAACAACGAAAAUAAACAACGAGUCGGAUAGCAGAAUAGACUCAACAACAAGUGGCAAAGCAGUAGAUCAGAGCUGUAAUAUAUUGAUUGGAAUAAAAUUAAAACCAAUUUGAGUUAGGUCGUCGAUCGAA